rnacentral:tRNA from 1 species
GGCGUCCCUGGCCGGCGGGCGGCCGAUCGCUCGCGGCGCUCGCCGUGUGGUUCUACGUCUCGGCGGUGCUG